ACCCUCGCCGGUGGCCGGAGAUCGAACUGGCGCUGAAGAGGCUGUCCGCAACCCAGCACUCAACUGCUGCGCCACCAGGGGAGGCCCAAUGCUUUGAUUUUAAUGUAUGAAAAUGCUCCUUAAACUCAGGCAAUGAGAUCUUCACUGCAUUCAAGCCCAACGAAGUCAAUAAUAACAGAUUCCAUGGGAUCCCUCUCAACUUUCAACUAUGUAUUUUGAGGUAUUCGCUGGAAAACAGAGGGGGACUCAACAAUGGAAACCAUGGAUGCCUUUGUGCAACACCUUUCUUAAUUAAAUGAUGGCGAGCCUCAGGAAGAUCAGAAGCAAGUGUCUUGGACUUAAAGAAUUCAAAAGAUUGCAUGGCCUGUCACAAAACGAACUUGCGCAACACCAUAAGUUUGAUGACAAUGAGUCUGAGUGUGGGUCCCCUUCACCCCUGUUUUGGGAUUUACUUGGCUUCUUGAAUCUGCAGAUUGGAUAGCUGCCAUCAUUCUAGCUUCCCGUUCACGAAUUUGUUUGUCUGCCAUUUCCAUUUUGUUGCAGGAGAAUGGAAGAAUGACACAUUGUUACUGGCAAGCGCGGAUAUGAAUCCAGGUUCCUCACCUGAUUUCUUGUUAUUGAUGGGCUUAUACUUUCUGGUUACCUGAGCCUUGAGAAAGUUCAAGAAGAGAAGCUUUCUGCAGAAUGAUACUGACCUACGUUGACACUCACAGGUCAUAUGAGCUAGUGAAGAGAUAGCCAUAUUCAGUGUGUCUCUCUGCUAUCAAAUGGUCGGCAAAGGUCAUAAAAUCUGAUUUAUUAGCAAUAUGCAGCUAAAAAGAAUAGGGCCAGGAUGGUCCUCUAUUCAUUAAAGAAAUCUAGCCAUUCAAGUCUGCAUUUUA